rnacentral:rRNA from 1 species
UGCGUAGGUGGUUGUUUAAGUCUGUUGUGAAAGCCCUGGGCUCAACCUGGGAACUGCAGUGGAAACUGGACGACUAGAGUGUGGUAGAGGGUAGCGUAAUUCCUGGUGUAGCAGUGAAAUGCGUAGAGAUCAGGAGGAACAUCCAUGGCGAAGGCAGCUACCUGGACCAACACUGACACUGAGGCACGAAAGCGUGGGGAGCAAACA